rnacentral:lncRNA from 1 species
GUGAGUGUUGAGAGAGAAUGCUCAGGUCCUUCGAUCUUCCAAGAGUCCAAAUCCUGAGUCUGAAGAGAAGUCCCCUUCCCAAUGGAGUGGAAGGGGUAUUUAUAGGAUUUUUUAGAGAGUGGUCAUGUGCUAGGCACAUGUCCUCGGGGAAAUUCCAAAUUUACCCUUAGUCACCAGAGUAAUGCCCAAAUCAUCCUGCCCUUCUA